UGACACUAGCAGAACAAAUAAAAUAGUCUCAAUCACGGAUACUAACGUGCCAUAGUGGUAUGGUCUAAGGCCGAGCAGUUUGUAUAAAGUGGAUCACAUGCAUCUCUUGUUGAUCUCCUAAAACCAAAUAAAGAUUACAAAAAUUGAUAAUCUAUGCUUAGGGAGAGACUAGAGAGGUUAGAGCAUGUUUAUCGGCGUCGCUUAGAAGGGUUGUUUAGCUAAAUUGGCAAUUAAAAUAAAAGGAAAAUAGACAAUUAAACAAAGGACGUCGCCUAAUUUGGGUCUCGAAGGCACGUUGCUUAGCGGGUACGUGGCACAAUCAGGUUGGCUGGAGGAGCAGUGUCGUCUUUCGUCUUUUUUCUUUUUCUUCUCUCGGUGGCGAAACAGGGAGUCCUCGACACCUCGACGACUCCUCGACGCCAUGAAGCCGCUCUGCAUCUCGAGAUUGGAGACCAUGGUUGGUUGUUUCUCCCCUCUCCGAUGCUCCAAUCAUCAAUCCCCAACGUCUCAGCUCUCCUCCACUGCACAGUCCCUGAAUCAUCGGCGUCGUCAGCUCUCCUCCACCUCAGUUUCGACAUCGUCAGUUCAUCUCCGUCGUGCUGCUCAUCGUUGGAAUCAAGUUCGCCGUCGCAUUCGAAAGACUCCUGAAACAUCAAUGGCUACUUUUGGCUAUUUUGCACAUCCAGUCCUCAUAGUUUGGUUCUUUUCUUUUUGACCCCAUCACAAUUUUAAUAUUUAAAAAUUCACUAAGCACCCACUAAGGGAUUGCACCAAUAAACAUGCUCUUACAAGUCGGAUUAUUAAUGUAUUCAUGAGUAGUUUCGACACAGAAAUCGAUGUGAUCAUGUGAGUAUACGAGAGUACCAU
rnacentral:lncRNA from 1 species